rnacentral:rRNA from 1 species
UCCUACGGGAGGCAGCAGUAGGGAAUCUUCCACAAUGGGCGAAAGCCUGAUGGAGCAACGCCGCGUGAGUGAUGAAGGCCUUCGGGUUGUAAAACUCUGUCAUUCGGGACGAACCGGAGUCUGAGGAAAUGCAGACUCUCUGACGGUACCGGAGGAGGAAGCCCCGGCUAACUACGUGCCAGCAGCCGCGGUAAUACGUAGGGGGCAAGCGUUGUCCGGAUUCACUGGGCGUAAAGCGCGCGCAGGCGGUGAUGUAAGUCUGAGGUGAAAACCCGAAGCUCAACUUCGGGACUGCCUUGGAUACUGCGUCACUUGAGGAUAGGAGAGGCAAGGGGAAUUCCACGUGUAGCGGUGAAAUGCGUAGAGAUGUGGAGGAACACCUGUGGCGAAGGCGCCUUGCUGGCCUAUUUCUGACGCUGAGGCGCGAAAGCGUGGGGAGCAAACAGGAUUAGAUACCCUGGUAGUCCACGCUGUAAACGAUGAGUGCUAGGUGUAGGUGGGCUCAUACCCAUCUGUGCCGAAGCUAACGCAUUAAGCACUCCGCCUGGGGAGUACGGUCGCAAGACUGAAACUCAAAUGAAUUGACGG